UUUCCGUAGGUGAACCUGCGGAAGGAUCAUUAUGGUAUAACGGAGGUGCGAGGGCUGUCGCUGCACCGUAAGUUCGUGCACGCCCGAGUGCCGUCCCACUCAUCACUCUCCCCCCUAUGUACACCGCCGCGUGGGACCCCCUUUGGCUUGUUCGGAGGGGGGCUUACCGUUUCUCACAAACUUUGUAUGCAGUGUAGAAUGUAUUUUUUGUUUUUGCGAUCACGCAAUAAAUACAACUUUCAACAACGGAUCUCUUGGCUCUG
rnacentral:misc_RNA from 1 species